GAAUAGAGGCGCGAAGGAGAGGGUAAUCUUUAAUUGUUAAGGAGAAGAACCUCCAAUAUUAAAGAUGAAUGGUUCCUUUGCCGAAAGAGUAUGUUGGUUCUUAAAUAUAUUCUUGGUGAUAAUGCUAAUACAUUAUCACUGCCAUAAGGGAUGAUUAGAUAUCCUAAGUUUUAUGGAGAGCUAUUUA
rnacentral:ncRNA from 1 species